rnacentral:rRNA from 1 species
CCUACGGGAGGCAGCAGUGGGGAAUAUUGGGCAAUGGGCGCAAGCCUGACCCAGCAACGCCGCGUGAAGGAAGAAGGCUUUCGGGUUGUAAACUUCUUUUGACAGGGAAGAGUAGAAGACGGUACCUGUCGAAUAAGCCACGGCUAACUACGUGCCAGCAGCCGCGGCAAUACGUAGGUGGCAAGCGUUGUCCGGAUUUACUGGGUGGAAAGGGCGUGUAGCCGGGUUGACAAGUCAGAUGUGAAAUCCUGCGGCUUAACCGCAGAACUGCAUUUGAAACUGUUGAUCUUGAGUACUGGAGAGGCAGACGGAAUUCCUAGUGUAGUGGUGAAAUGCGUAGAUAUUAGGAGGAACACCAGUGGCGAAGGCGGUCUGCUGGACAGCAACUGACGGUGAGGCGCGAAAGCGUGGGGAGCAAACAGGAUUAGAUACCCGAGUAGUC